rnacentral:rRNA from 1 species
CAGUAGCCACGGUAAUACGAAGGGUGCAAGCGUUACUCGGAAUUACUGGGCGUAAAGCGUGUGUAGGUGGUUGUUUAAGUCAGGGGUGAAAUCCCGCAGCUCAACUGCGGAACUGCCUUUGAUACUGGGUAUCUUGAGUAUGGAAGAGGUUAGUGGAAUUGCGAGUGUAGAGGUGAAAUUCGUAGAUAUUCGCAGGAACACCAGUGGCGAAGGCGGCUAACUGGUCCAUAACUGACGCUGAGGUGCGAAAGCGUGGGGAGCAAACAGGAUUAGAUACCCCGGUAGUCCCUGUCUCUUAUAC